rnacentral:rRNA from 1 species
GAUGAACGCUGGCGGCGUGCCUAAUACAUGCAAGUCGAGCGAACAGACGAGGAGCUUGCUCCUCUGACGUUAGCGGCGGACGGGUGAGUAACACGUGGAUAACCUACCUAUAAGACUGGGAUAACUUCGGGAAACCGGAGCUAAUACCGGAUAAUAUCUUGAACCGCAUGGUUCAAUAGUGAAAGACGGUUUUGCUGUCACUUCUAGAUGGAUCCGCGCUGCAUUAGCUAGUUGGUAAGGUAACGGCUUACCAAGGCAACGAUGCGUAGCCGACCUGAGAGGGUGAUCGGCCACACGGGAACGGAGACAGGGUCCAUACUCCUACGAGAGGCAGCAGUAGGGAAUCUUCCGCAAUGGGCGAAAGCCUGACGGAGCAACGCCGCGUGAGUGAUGAAGGUCUUCGGAUCGUAAAACUCUGUUAUUAGGGAAGAACAAAUGUGUAAGUAACUGUGCACGGCUUGACGGUACCUAAUCAGAAAGCCACGGCUAACUACGUG